UACUUUCCCGGGUAGUCUAAUAAACUGAGUAGUAGUGGUGUACAGGUGAGUAAAAGAUAAAUUGGCUACCUUAAAGUAAGGGGGUAAAUCCCUUAUAUAAUAAAGGAGGAGAUAGUAGAAUAAAAGAAAGAAAGAAGUCUAUAGUGCUCCGCUUUAAGAAGUUAAUCUUUAUCUCGGUGAGUAGUAGGAAAGGUAAUGACUUAUUCUAGCAAAUAACCGUAGUCGUGACUGAGAGGUCGAUCGACCACAUUGGGUCUGAAAAAACCCCAAUGCGUAUUAGUACAGCAGUGAGGAAUAUUGGUCAAUGGCCGAAAGGCUGAACCAGUAACUUGGAAGAAUGAAAAUGUAUUAUAAUAAUACAAUAACGAUUAACUCGUGUAAAAUUCUAAAUAGGAUAAUGAUAAUGACAAUUUCCUAUUUAUAAGUCUUGACCAAAUUACGUGCCAGCAGUCGCGGUAAUACGUAGAAGACUAGUGUUAGUCAUCUUUAUUAGGUUUAAAGGGUACCUAGACGGUAAAAUAAACUCUAAAUGAGUACUUUUUUACUAGAGUUUUAUGUGAGAAGGGAGAAUUUCUGGAGGAGAGAUGGAAUAUGUUGAUACCAGAAGGACUGGUAACGGCGAAGGCAUCCUUCUAUGUAAAAACUGACGUUGAGGGACGAAGGCUUGGGUAGCAAUAAGGAUUAGAUACCCUAGUAGUCCAAGCAGACAAUGAUGAAUGUCAUAGACUAGAUAAUGUAUAAUAUAUAAUGUAUUUAGUCUAUAAAUGAAAGUGUAAGCAUUCCACCUCAAGAGUAAUAUGGCAACAUAUAAACUGAAAUCAUUAGACCGUUUCUGAAAUCAGUAGUGAAGUAUGUUAUUUAAUUCGAUAGUCCGCGAAAAACCUUACCACAGUUUGAAUAACAAUAUAAGGGAUAUUGUAACAAGUGCUGCACGGCUGUCUUUAGUUAAUGUCGUGAGAUCUGGUUUACUCCUUUAAUUAACGAAAACCCUCGCUUUAUUUGUAUAUAUAAAGUGGUUCGCCAAUAGAUCGGACCAGAUAAAAGGGAUGAAGACAAGUCAUCAUGGCCUAAAUACUGUGGGCUAUAGACGUGCCACAUACGCCUUAACAAAGGGAUGCGAAAUUGCGAAAUUGAGCUAAUCCCCCAAAAAAGGAUAUAAUAUGGAUUGUAGUCUGUAAUUCGACUACAUGAAUAAGGAAUUACUAGUAAUCGUGAAUCACCAACGUCACGGUGAAUAU
rnacentral:rRNA from 1 species